GAAAUGAACCAAGAUGAGUUUAGUAGCAAACAAAAGGUUUUCAUUAGCAUUUUGUGUAGCCUGUUAAGCCUAUGUGAGACUAAAAUGGAUUUUACUUAAUUGGAGAAGCGAACAAUAUUCAAAUCAUUGUCAUCAAAACAUUUUGAGGAGCUGAUGGAAGAAGCUGAAAGAGAACUUGACGAACUUGAACACCUUCAUGAGGAACCAGGAAAAAGCAGCAAGAGUGAUGAGAAGGAUUCGUGGUCGUCGUACGUAUCGCACAUUUGUUGCGCGAGUUAACCAUUUUCCACCAAGUGUUGCAGUUAUAUGGCGUAGACCCAACGCUUAUCGCCCAAGCUUUCCGCCAGGUGUUCUAUUACAUUUGUGCGUGCGCAUUAAACAACCUCCUACUGCGUAAAGAAAUGUGUCACUGGUCGAAAGGCAUUCAGAUUCGGUACACAUCUCCCAUCUUGAAAAAUGGCUGCGUGACCAGGAUAUUCAUGGACAGGACACUAUGAGUGCUUGUAUCGUAGAUACCCUGCAGCCUAUUAUCCAAGCCGCAUGGUUGUUACAUUUGUUACAAGCUAGAGAAUCCGACGAUGACGUCAGGCAUAUUUGCACCAUGUGUUCCCGAUUAACCAGCGCUCAGAUCAUCAUGAUUCUGAAUCUGCACACGCCAGCUGAUGAAUUGGAAGAUCGAAUUCCCAUUUCUUUUAUCCGCAAAGUGCAAUAAGAAUUGGAAAAACGAAUCGACCCGCAGUCACAGAGCAAAUUGCUAAUGGAUACCAAACACGCAUUUACGGUGCGUUUCCCGUACAGUCCAUCAUCAAUCAAUUUAGAAGACAUAGACAUUCCGACCGUAGUAAAUCUACCAAUGUUGAAGAAGGUUUAAGAUCAUUUCUUCCUCCCCAUGCAGAUGUGUUAUGUUCUUAUCGAAGCAUUCCGUUGGUGUGUGUUAAGUAUUGAGGAACGAAAUGUGUUUGGCUGCAAACGUCUCGAAGCUAACUGCGGCCAUUUGUUCUAUGUAAAAUAAGAAGAAAUGAGUUAUCAUUGAUACUAAGUACAGUUUAAUAAGAAAAGAACAAUGAAUUGAUCUGCCAAAUAUUUCUGUUAGUGACCUGCUUUGGACUCACGAUAUUUGCGAAAACAGAGAACUAUAUAUUUUUACUUACAAACGUUAUGUUUGAUGCUUUUAGGAUAUGCCUGCAGCUAUGGAACAAGGUCGAUUUUAAUGUUUUUUUCAUUCCCAUGUUCAUUCAUAAUACUCGAGUGCUCGCACAACGGAUCGCUAUUAAAACUCCUCUGCUUGUGUGAUCACUGUGAUGAAUCUGAUUUGAAUGUGACAUGGCAUUCUUUUUCAGCUUUUUGUCUUUCACGUUUCUUUGCAGUUUUAGGUGAAUUUUAAGAUUUUUGUAAUAUUUUGAUUUCAGAAUAAAUAUCGUAAAUCUUC
rnacentral:lncRNA from 1 species